rnacentral:rRNA from 1 species
GACGAACGCUGGCGGCGUGCUUAACACAUGCAAGUCGAACGGAAAGGCCUCUUUCGGGGGGUACUCGAGUGGCGAACGGGUGAGUAACACGUGAGUAACCUGCCCUUGACUUUGGGAUAACUUCAGGAAACUGGGGCUAAUACCGGAUAGGAGCUCCUGCUGCAUGGUGGGGGUUGGAAAGUUUCGGCGGUUGGGGAUGGACUCGCGGCUUAUCAGCUUGUUGGUGGGGUAGUGGCUUACCAAGGCUUUGACGGGUAGCCGGCCUGAGAAGGUGACCGGCCACAUUGGGACUGAGAUACGGCCCAGACUCCUACGGGAGGCAGCAGUGGGGAAUAUUGCACAAUGGGUGGAAGCCUGAUGCAGCAACGCCGGGUGCGGGAUGACGGCCUUCGGGUUGUAAACCGCUUUCGCUCAUGACGAAGCUUUGUGUGACGGUAGUGGGUAAAGAAGCACCGGCUAACUACGUG